rnacentral:rRNA from 1 species
CGCGCAGGCGGCUUGGCAAGUCGGGUGUGAAAUCCCGGGGCUCAACCCCGGGACUGCAUUCGAUACUGUCAGGCUAGAGGUGGGUAGGGGAGAUCGGAAUUCCUGGUGUAGCGGUGAAAUGCGCAGAUAUCAGGAGGAACACCGGUGGCGAAGGCGGAUCUCUGGGCCUUACCUGACGCUCAGGCGCGAAAGCUAGGGGAGCGAACA